AACGAACGCUGGCGGCAGGCCCAACACAUGCAAGUCGAGCGAAGCCUUCGGGCUUAGCGGCGGACGGGUGAGUAACGCGUGGGAACGUGCCCUUUGGUACGGAAUAGCCCCGGGAAACUGGGAGUAAUACCGUAUGUGGUCGAGAGACGAAAGAUUUAUCGCCAAAGGAUCGGCCCGCGUUGGAUUAGGUAGUUGGUGGGGUAAUGGCCUACCAAGCCGACGAUCCAUAGCUGGUUUGAGAGGAUGAUCAGCCACACUGGGACUGAGACACGGCCCAGACUCCUACGGGAGGCAGCAGUGGGGAGUCUUAGACAAUGGGGGAAACCCUGAUCUAGCCAUGCCGCGUGAUCGAUGAAGGCCUUAGGGUUGUAAAGAUCUUUCAGUGGGGAAGAUAAUGACUGUACCCACAGAAGAAGCCCCGGCUAACUCCGUGCCAGCCGCCGCAGUAAGAC
rnacentral:rRNA from 1 species